rnacentral:rRNA from 1 species
UUUUUAUAGUUUAGAAUUAUAAAUAAUGCCUGCUCAAUGAAAAUUAAAUAGCAACUUUAAAUUCUAAGGUAGCAUAAUCAUUAGUCUCUUAAUUAGAGGAUAGUAUGAAAGGUGAAACGAAUAAAAUUAAGUUUUUAUUUUAUAAUCUUAAAUUAAUAAAUAAGUUAAAAAGCUUAUAGUUAAUUUAGGGACGAGAAGACCCUAGAAAGUUUUAUUUAUAUGUUUUCUUUUGGUGGGAUUCAUAAAUUUUAUUGGGGCAAUAUUAUAAGANCAAAUUUUAUAAAUUAAAAUUUUAUUGGAAUAUUAAUGAUCCAUUAUUAAUGAUUAGUAGAAGAAAUUACUUUAGGGAUAACAGCACAAUUAAAAUUUUAAAGUUCAUAUUUACAAUUUUGGUUAUGACCUCGAUGUUGGAUUAAUAUUCAUAGUGGCGUAGCAACUA